rnacentral:rRNA from 1 species
GACGUAGGAGGCGAGCGUUGUCCGGAUUCAUUGGGCGUAAAGAGCACGCAGGCGGUUUGGCAAGUCGGACGUGAAAAUCCGGGGCUCAACCCCGGACCUGCAUCCGAAACUGCCCGACUAGAGGUAGGUAGGGGAGAUCGGAAUUCCUGGUGUAGCGGUGAAAUGCGCAGAUAUCAGGAGGAACACCGGUGGCGAAGGCGGAUCUCUGGGCCGUACCUGACGCUCAGGUGCGAAAGCUAGGGGAGCGAACAGG